GAAAGCUUGUCAACUUAGCUGCUACACACCUUGGCAUAUUUCAACUUCUUCCCAAUCGAUCUUCGGUCUCGUUCUCUGAAACUUGUAAAAUUGUGGUAAGAUCUAUAUAACAUUAAAACUGGCCAUUUUAACCUUUUUCUUUAUUUCUUUGAGACGGAGUCUCGCUCUGUUGCCCAGGCUGGAUGGAGUGCAAUGGCGUGAUCUCGGCUCACUGCAACCUCCUCCCCUCAGGGUCAAGUGAUUCUCCUGCCUCAGCCUGGAGAGUAGCUGGGAUUACAGGCGUGCGCCAUCACGCCCGGCUAAUUUUGGUAUUUUUAGUAGAGACGGGGUUUCGACAUGUUAGCCGGGCUAAUCUCGAACUCCUGACCUCAGAUGAUCCAUCCGCCUCGGCCUCCCAAAGUGCUGGGAUUACAGGCAUGAGCCACUGCGCCUGGCCUCAUUUUAACCUUUUAUUUUUUUGAGACGGAGUCUUGCUUUGUGGCCCAGGCUGGAGUGCAGUGGCGCCAUCUGGUCUCACUGCAAGCUCCGCCUCCCGGGUUCACACCAUUCUCCUGCCUCAGCCUCCCGAGUAACUGGGACUACAGGCGCCCGCUACCACGCCUGGCUAAUUUUUUGUAUUUUUUUUCUUUUUUUUUUUUUUUAAUAGGGACGGGGUUUCACCGUUGUUAGCCAGGAUGGUCUCGAUCUUCUGACCUCGUGAUCCGCCCGCCUCGGCUUCCUAAAGUGCUGGAAUUACAGGUGUGAGCCACCGCGCCCUGCCUCAUUUUAACCAUUUUUAAGUGUACAAUUCAGUGACAAAUUAGUUACAUUUCCUGUUGUGCAACUAUCACUGCUGUUUCCAAAACUGUUGCAUCAUCAUAAACAAAAACUCUGUACUCAUUAAGCAGUAACUCCUCAUUUCUCCUCCCUCUAGCCCCUGCUCACAUCUAAGCCACUUUCUGUAUCUGAGUUUGCCUGUUCUAGAUAUUUCAUAUAACUGGAAUCGUUCAAUGUUUGUCCCUUUGUGCCUGGUUUCUUUCACUUAGCAUAGUGUUUUCAAGGUUCAUUCAUGUUGUAGCAUGUGUCAGAACUUUAUUCCUUUUAUGGGGCUGAAUAAUAUUCCAUUGGGUGGAUGUGCCACAUUUUGU
rnacentral:sRNA from 1 species